AGCACAGCAAUGGUUAAAUAGUGAGACCCAGAAUUAAAUAAAAUAGUGUUCUGGGGUGUGCCUCUGAUUGGUUUAUUUGGAGUGGCAGAAAAACUGAAGCACAUGUAGGAAUUUCUGUUAUGUCUGUAGGAGACAGAGAUUAAACCAACCAAGUGGGAGGAGAGAACAUCAUUUGAUUUUCUUGACUUUAAAUGACAGGACAGUGAUCCAACAAUGUCCAAGUGUAGUUAUGGGCUUCCCAAGGGAGAUUCUUUUCUAAUUUUACAAUGGCUGUAUAUUAUUUGAGGAGCUCCAAAAGUAGUUUUAUAUGAUGAUUAUUUCUUCAACUUAGCAAUGUGAGGAAAAUGAUAGAAAAUUGACACACUUUGGUACUAAAUAAGCAUAAUUUAUUUUUGUCAUUCAACAUGUUUAAGAGGUUAGAAAAUGAGUCUGAUCCCUGUGUAAUUUAGAUUUUAUUGGUGGUGAUUUAAGUUUCCUGACUUAAUUAGUAGGACAAAGAAGCAAUACCAGAACAGAAAUCUGGUUUUCUUACCAUGAUUUCCUUCCAUGACCCUACAGUUUCCUUGUCUUCCAUCUGGCUCCAAGGAAUAUUACUAUAGUAUGAAUGUAAGAAUAGCCCAAAUCUUAAUCAGAUUUCAGUGAUCUAUUGAGCAAUUAAAUGUUUACCUAGACUUAUAGCCUGUUCUCACAGAGUCAGGGGAUAUAAAUCUGAUUAUCUGGAGACUUAUGGUAACAAUUUAGUUCUGUGUGAUGCAUUAUAGCCUAGUGUGUAGCACAAUCUAGGCUCCUCAGCCACAAAGACUCAAAUUUUGUUAUAUUUCAGAACUGCUAAUCCUCAUUGGAAAGUUAAUGAAAUAACUUGUGGGCAGGAAUCCAAAAGAGAUUUAACCGAUGGGUAGUUGUAUAGAUGUGAGCAGACAUAGUGAAUCAAAUAAUCAAAUAGGGUCUGUGCUUUGCUCUAGGCUAUCUGCUCAACCACAACAGCUUCAGAUCCCAUUAGCUUACCCUUCCAGCCUGAACUCAUAUAUAAGCAUGCAUAGUUGAGGACCGGAUUGCUCUGCCUUGUUCUUGUAGGUCUCUCUUUACCUAGGAUCCCAAAGCCAUGGGAAAACAUCUCCUGAUGUACCUGUUGGGCCUCUCCUUUGUGGUGGGCUUCCUACAAGCUCUGACAUGUUGGGACUGUGACAUGUUAAACUCUGAUGGAAUUUGUAAGACAGGAUACUCUACCUGUAAAGCUAAAGAUGACCAGGAGUGUUGCAAACUGGUAGUGUCUACAGGUG
rnacentral:sRNA from 1 species